GAUGAACGCUGGCGGCGUGCCUAUUACAUGCAAGUCGAGCGAACAGACGAGGAGCUUGCUCCUCUGACGUUAGCGGCGGACGGGUGAGUAACACGUGGAUAACCUACCUAUAAGACUGGGAUAACUUCGGGAAACCGGAGCUAAUACCGGAUAAUAUAUUGAACCUCAUGGUUCAAUAGUGAAAGACGGUUUUGCUGUCACUUAUAGAUGGAUCCGCCCCGCAUUAGCUAGUUGGUAAGGUAAUGGCUUACCAAGGCAACGAUGCGUAGCCGACCUGAGAGCGUGAUCGGCCACACUGGAACUGAGACACGGUCCAGACUCCUACGGGAGGCAGCAGUAGGGAAUCUUCCGCGAUGGGCGAGAGCCUGACGGUGCAACGCCGCGUGAGUGAUGAAGGUCUUCGGAUCGUAGAACUCUGUUAUUAGGGAAGAACAAAUGUGUAAGUAACUAUGAACGUAUUGACGGUACCUAAUCAGAAAGCCACGGCUAACUACGUG
rnacentral:rRNA from 1 species